rnacentral:rRNA from 1 species
UACGGAGGGUGCGAGCGUUGUCCGGAAUUAUUGGGCGUAAAGAGCUCGUAGGCGGUCAGUCGCGUCUGCUGUGAAAACUCGGGGCUUAACUCCGGGCCUGCAGUGGGUACGGGCUGACUAGAGUGCGGUAGGGGAGACUGGAAUUCCUGGUGUAGCGGUGAAAUGCGCAGAUAUCAGGAGGAACACCGGUGGCGAAGGCGGGUCUCUGGGCCGUAACUGACGCUGAGGAGCGAAAGCGUGGGGAGCGAACAGG